ensembl:rRNA 5S_rRNA 5S ribosomal RNA
GCUACUGGCCACACCACCCUGUAUCCCUCUGCUGGCUUUCAUCUGAAGCUAAGCAAGGUUAGACCAAGCCAACAGUUGGAUGGCAGACCACCUGGGAAAAUGAGGUUGCUGCUGAAA